GUUUCAGCAAAUAUUCGUCUGCGUGUCGUGUUUGGAUAUUGGAUUCAUGAAAAAAGCUCUAGAUGGCUAUAUCCUUAAUGAUGGAUCUCCAAUUCAACAGCAACUGCCGAAUGGUCCUGGGACCAGGAAUUUAUUCGCUAUUUUAGUGUCGCCGAUUCGCCAUUAUUUGUUUUGCCGUUAGCAUCGCAUCGGACUCGAACAUUACCGCAAUGAACCGAAACUAGGACUCUAUUAUGUUGCCGGAAGGGAAAAAAGACCAGGAGAUCGUGUCUUUAUGAGAAUGGUCCUAGUUCGACCCCCCAGUCAAUCAGGUUGAACAAAUUGCGUCGCAGCCGGGAACUUAUUGUGGUUAUUCCAUGGUAAUUGGUGGGUACUACAAAUGCUACCUAUCUUAAAGCUUGAAAAUUUUAAUUCUCCUUAAAUUUUGAUGCUAUUUCGAAAAUAGGUAGAUUUGGAAGUCGACGAGUAGUUUGGUUCGUGGAUAGAAUCAUUCGUUUGACUGAAAUGUAUAUCUCGGUUCUCUUGGAUAACCCGGCUCAACAACUCACAUAUCCCGUCCAGGACCAACUCGCUUAUUCACUCCCGGCAUUUAUGGCGAUGAAAAACUUCAUUCCUCAGUGGUAUUUUCCAAUGUCGAUAUGAGAUCGUCAGAAUUCAAACAUAAGAAAAAUCCACACUGCUUCGGUCAAUUUGCGGGACAGUAUUCCGGUGAUUGGUAAAAGAUUCGUUAGGGAGCGCUUAAUGUCGCAUGUCCGACUUAUGCGUCAGACAGUUGGCGUAUUGGCCCAGCCGAAACCAUCUUAGCCAACGGCAUGGGCACUAGUAACAAUUGUUGCAUGGUCGUCGGAGAAAGUCUGAUUGACGGUGAUGGGUUCUUCCACGGCAAGUUUUAGUGAUGGGUUCGUACUGCUACACUACACUUCGACGACGCCUUACUACACAACAACAACAUAUGCAACACCUUACUACACCGAGGUUCCUAACUACACCACCAAGGCUCCAAAGUAUUGCAC